rnacentral:rRNA from 1 species
AGCAAAUAGGAUUAGAUACCCUAGUAGUCCACGCUGUAAACGAUGGAUACUAAGUGUCGGGCAACCGGUGCUGAAGUUAACACAUUAAGUAUCCCACCUGAGUAGUACGGUCGCAAGACUGAAACUCAAAGGAAUUGACGGGCACCCGCACAAGCGGUGGAGCAUGUCGUUUAAUUCGAAGCAACGCGAAAAACCUUACCAGGACUUGACAUCUCUUUGAAACCUUAUGGAAACACUAGGCCUCUUCUUCGGAAGACAAAGAUGACAGGUGGUGCAUGGUUGUCGUCAGCUCGUGUCGUGAGAUGUUCGGUUAAGUCCGAUAACGAGCGCAACCCUUAUCCUUAAUUGCUAACAUUAAGUUGAGAACCUUAAGGAAACUAUCGGUGACAAGCCGGAGGAAGGUGGGGAUGACGUCAAAUCAUCAUGCCCCUUACGUCCUGGGCUACAGACGUGCUACAAUGGCAGAUAUAAAGAGUCGCCAACUCGCGAGAGUGAGCUAAUCUCAAAAAGUCUGUCUCAAUUCGGAUUGGAGUCUGCAACUCGACUCCAUGAAGUUGGAAUCGCUAGUAAUCGUAAAUCAGAAUGUUACGGUGAAUACGUUCCCGGGUGUUGUACACACCGCUCGUCACGCCAUGGGAGUUGGUAAUACCCAAAGCUGUUAGCCUAACCAUAAUUUUAUGGAGGGAGACAUCUAAGGUAGGAUCAGCGACUGGGGUGAAGUCGAAACAAGGUAUCCCUACCGGAAGGUGGGGAUG